CAGCCGCCGCGGUAAAACAGAGGAUGCAAGCGUUAUCCGGAAUGAUUGGGCGUAAAGCGUCUGUAGGUGGCUUUUCAAGUCCGCCGUCAAAUCCCAGGGCUCAACCCUGGACAGGCGGUGGAAACUACCAAGCUGGAGUACGGUAGGGGCAGAGGGAAUUUCCGGUGGAACGGUGAAAUGCGUUGAGAUCGGAAAGAACACCAACGGUGAAAGCACUCUGCUGGGCCGACACUGACACUGAGAGACGAAAGCUAGGGGAGCAAAUGGGAUUAGAUACCCCUGUAGUCCCUGUCUCUUAUAC
rnacentral:rRNA from 1 species